UACGAAGGGGGCUAGCGUUGUUCGGAAUCACUGGGCGUAAAGCGCACGUAGGCGGAUCUUUUAAGUCAGGGGUGAAAUCCCGAGGCUCAACCUCGGAACUGCCUUUGAUACUGGGGAUCUCGAGUCCGGGAGAGGUGAGUGGAACUGCGAGUGUAGAGGUGAAAUUCGUAGAUAUUCGCAAGAACACCAGUGGCGAAGGCGGCUCACUGGCCCGGAACUGACGCUGAGACGCGAAAGCGUGGGGAGCAAACAGG
rnacentral:rRNA from 1 species